CUCAUCUGGCAAACUGGCAGUGCCAGCUUAAAACGCAUCGUCCCCUUCCCCUCGUGUGUAUCGCCCCCUUUUCUUCCAAUUCCUUUUCUUUGGAUUUCCCUUGCUAAAUCUCAUCAAUUUCACCGUCCAUUUCUCUUCUACAAAACCCUCCAAUUCCCACUCACAAUCACAAUUUUCUUGAAAAAUCCCCUUUUCUCCAAUGGCUUCUUUCAGUGUCCCUUGUCCCAAGAUUUCUGUUUUAUCCGUUGCUUCUUCCCAUUCCAGCUCGACCCAACAACCCCACGUCUCCGUUUCCUUGAGAUCCACUCCUGCAUUGCUCCCUCGUCUUCAGGUUUGUUUUCCCUUUGACGUAAAUCUUAAAGAUUGAAACUUUACCAUGCAUUUGAUUGAAUUUAGUGUGUGUGUGUGUGUGUGUUUUCCUUCAGGGGUCCAGUCGACUCCAAUCUCAGGUGUUUAAGGUGAAUGCCCAGC
rnacentral:lncRNA from 1 species